UGAAGAGUUUGAUCCUGGCUCAGAUUGAACGCUGGCGGCAUGCCUUACACAUGCAAGUCGAACGGCAGCACGGGUGCUUGCACCUGGUGGCGAGUGGCGAACGGGUGAGUAAUACAUCGGAACAUGUCCUGUAGUGGGGGAUAGCCCGGCGAAAGCCGGAUUAAUACCGCAUACGAUCUACGGAUGAAAGCGGGGGACCUUCGGGCCUCGCGCUAUAGGGUUGGCCGAUGGCUGAUUAGCUAGUUGGUGGGGUAAAGGCCUACCAAGGCGACGAUCAGUAGCUGGUCUGAGAGGACGACCAGCCACACUGGGAAUGAGACACGGCCCAGACUCCUACGGGAGGCAGCAGUGGGGAAUUUUGGACAAUGGGCGAAAGCCUGAUCCAGCAAUGCCGCGUGUGUGAAGAAGGCCUUCGGGUUGUAAAGCACUUUUGUCCGGAAAGAAAUCCUUGGCUCUAAUACAGUCGGGGGAUGACGGUACCGGAAGAAUAAGCACCGGCUAACUACGUGCCAGCAGCCGCGGUAAUACGUAGGGUGCGAGCGUUAAUCGGAAUUACUGGGCGUAAAGCGUGCGCAGGCGGUUUGCUAAGACCGAUGUGAAAUCCCCGGGCUCAACCUGGGAACUGCAUUGGUGACUGGCAGGCUAGAGUAUGGCAGAGGGGGGUAGAAUUCCACGUGUAGCAGUGAAAUGCGUAGAGAUGUGGAGGAAUACCGAUGGCGAAGGCAGCCCCCUGGGCCAAUACUGACGCUCAUGCACGAAAGCGUGGGGAGCAAACAGGAUUAGAUACCCUGGUAGUCCACGCCCUAAACGAUGUCAACUAGUUGUUGGGGAUUCAUUUCCUUAGUAACGUAGCUAACGCGUGAAGUUGACCGCCUGGGGAGUACGGUCGCAAGAUUAAAACUCAAAGGAAUUGACGGGGACCCGCACAAGCGGUGGAUGAUGUGGAUUAAUUCGAUGCAACGCGAAAAACCUUACCUACCCUUGACAUGGUCGGAAUCCUGCCGAGAGGUGGGAGUGCUCGAAAGAGAACCGGCGCACAGGUGCUGCAUGGCUGUCGUCAGCUCGUGUCGUGAGAUGUUGGGUUAAGUCCCGCAACGAGCGCAACCCUUGUCCUUAGUUGCUACGCAAGAGCACUCUAAGGAGACUGCCGGUGACAAACCGGAGGAAGGUGGGGAUGACGUCAAGUCCUCAUGGCCCUUAUGGGUAGGGCUUCACACGUCAUACAAUGGUCGGAACAGAGGGUUGCCAACCCGCGAGGGGGAGCUAAUCCCAGAAAACCGAUCGUAGUCCGGAUUGCACUCUGCAACUCGAGUGCAUGAAGCUGGAAUCGCUAGUAAUCGCGGAUCAGCAUGCCGCGGUGAAUACGUUCCCGGGUCUUGUACACACCGCCCGUCACACCAUGGGAGUGGGUUUUACCAGAAGUGGCUAGUCUAACCGCAAGGAGGACGGUCACCACGGUAGGAUUCAUGACUGGGGUGAAGUCGUAACAAGGUAGCCGUAUCGGAAGGUGCGGCUGGAUCACCUCCUUU
rnacentral:rRNA from 1 species